UGGUGUAUUUGACAAAGACACAUUCAAAUUUAUUAUAAUUGUAUUAUCUAAAUAAAUUUAAUUCAUACCAUUUGACAAUAAAGAUGGAAAAACAAGCGACAUCUUUGGUUGUAGAGUAGUAUUAUAAUUAUGAUAACUAGCUGGCAAUAGUAAAUGAUCACCAGAAAAAGACACAACAUAAAAUGUAUCAUUUUGUCUUUCAAUAGAAUUAAAUAAACUUCCUUUGCUAUCUAAUUUUAAUUGACCAAAACUGUCUAUGAAAUCAUUGUUAACUGGAUUAAGUUUUC